rnacentral:rRNA from 1 species
AUGCAGUCGACGCUGAAGCACCAGCUUGCUGGUGUGGAUGAGUGGCGAACGGGUGAGUAAUACGUGAGUAACCUGCCCUUGACUCUGGGAUAAGCCCGGGAAACUGGGUCUAAUACUGGAUGCUACAUGUCACCGCAUGGUGGUGUGUGGAAAGGGUUUACUGGUCUUGGAUGGGCUCACGGCCUAUCAGCUUGUUGGUGAGGUAAUGGCUCACCAAGGCGACGACGGGUAGCCGGCCUGAGAGGGUGACCGGCCACACUGGGACUGAGACACGGCCCAGACUCCUACGGGAGGCAGCAGUGGGGAAUAUUGCACAAUGGGCGAAAGCCUGAUGCAGCGACGCCGCGUGAGGGAUGACGGCCUUCGGGUUGUAAACCUCUUUCAGCAGGGAAGAAGCCACAAGUGACGGUACCUGCAGAAGAAGCGCCGGCUAACUACGUGCCAGCAGCCGCGGUAAUACGUAGGGCGCAAGCGUUGUCCGGAAUUAUUGGGCGUAAAGAGCUCGUAGGCGGUUUGUCGCGUCUGCUGUGAAAGCCCGGGGCUUAACCCCGGGUGUGCAGUGGGUACGGGCAGACUAGAGUGCAGUAGGGGAGACUGGAAUUCCUGGUGUAGCGGUGGAAUGCGCAGAUAUCAGGAGGAACACCGAUGGCGAAGGCAGGUCUCUGGGCUGUUACUGACGCUGAGGAGC